AUUGAACGCUGGCGGCAGGCCUAACACAUGCAAGUCGAGCGGAUGAAGGGAGCUUGAUCCUGGAUUCAGCGGCGGACGGGGGAGUAAUGCCUAGGAAUCUGCCUGGUAGUGGGGGAUAACGUCCGGAAACGGGCGCUGAUACCGCAUACGUCCUGAUGGAGAAAGUGGGGGAUCUUCGGACCUCACGCUAUCAGAUGAGCCUAGGUCGGAUUAGCUAGUUGGUGGGGUAAAGGCCUACCAAGGCGACGAUCCGUAACUGGUCUGAGAGGAUGAUCAGUCACACUGGAACUGAGACACGGUCCAGACUCCUACGGGAGGCAGCAGUGGGGAAUAGUGGACAAUGGGCGAAAGCCUGAUCCAGCCAUGCCGCGUGUGUGAAGAAGGUCUUCGGAUUGUAAAGCACUUUAAGUUGGGAGGAAGGGCAGUAAGUUAAUACCUUGCUGUUUUGACGUUACCAACAGAAUAAGCACCGGCUAACUUCGUG
rnacentral:rRNA from 1 species